rnacentral:lncRNA from 1 species
GUUCUACAAAAGAUAACUUGACCAUUUUUUCUUGAAGAUAAGAUUCACAAGUUGGGUACGACUCUGAAUCAAAAGAGUUAAGGAUCUCAUCCUUUUUCAGUUUGUUUAUCCUGUUCUCUUCAAUAUGGCUUAGUCUAUGAUGCCACAAGUACUUUUGGUUAAUUGAGAUCUCUUUUAGCCUAUGGCACUCACUACUUGCUUGUUUAAAUUUAUAUUCACAUCAAUAUACAAGUGAUAAAGACUGUUAAUUAAAAGAUCACAUACAAUCAAUAUAUUUCAUAAAUAAAUGGAACAAAAGUUUUUAUUGAAAUUAAAAUCAAAAC